AACGAACGCUGGCGGCAUGCCUAACACAUGCAAGUCGAACGAAGGCUUCGGCCUUAGUGGCGCACGGGUGCGUAACACGUGGGAAUCUGCCCUUUGCUUCGGAAUAACAGUUAGAAAUGACUGCUAAUACCGAAUAAUGUCGCAAGACCAAAGAUUUAUCGGCAAAGGAUGAGCCCGCGUAGGAUUAGCUAGUUGGUGGGGUAAAGGCUCACCAAGGCGACGAUCCUUAGCUGGUCUGAGAGGAUGAUCAGCCACACUGGGACUGAGACACGGCCCAGACUCCUACGGGAGGCAGCAGUGGGGAAUAUUGGACAAUGGGCGAAAGCCUGAUCCAGCAAUGCCGCGUGAGUGAUGAAAGCCUUAGGGUUGUAAAGCUCUUUUACCAGGGAUGAUAAUGACAGUACCUGGAGAAUAAGCUCCGGCUAACUCCGUGCCAGCCGCCGCGGUAAAAC
rnacentral:rRNA from 1 species